rnacentral:rRNA from 1 species
UACGAAGGGGGCUAGCGUUGCUCGGAAUUACUGGGCGUAAAGCGCACGUAGGCGGACUCUUAAGUCGGUGGUGAAAUCCUGGAGCUCAACUCCAGAACUGCCUUCGAUACUGGGAGUCUCGAGUCCGGGAGAGGUGAGUGGAACUGCGAGUGUAGAGGUGAAAUUCGUAGAUAUUCGCAAGAACACCAGUGGCGAAGGCGGCUCACUGGCCCGGUACUGACGCUGAGGUGCGAAAGCGUGGGGAGCAAACAGG